rnacentral:piRNA from 1 species
UGGUAUCUCUAUACCACUUUGCCU